GUGUUCAGAUCAGCAGCACAUAUACUGAAAUUGGAAAGAGACAAAGUAGAUUAGCAUGGCCCCUGUUCAAGCACCUACUUUUUAAAAAAAAUAUUAAUUUAUUU